UACAGAGGGGGCGAGCGUUGUUCGGAAUUACUGGGCGUAAAGGGCGCGUAGGCGGCCUGCUAAGUCGAACGUGAAAUCCCUGGGCUCAACCCAGGAACUGCGUCCGAUACUGGUUGGCUUGAAUCCGGGAGAGGGAUGCGGAAUUCCAGGUGUAGCGGUGAAAUGCGUAGAUAUCUGGAGGAACACCGGUGGCGAAGGCGGCAUCCUGGACCGGUAUUGGCGCUGAGGCGCGAAAGCCAGGGGAGCAAACGGG
rnacentral:rRNA from 1 species